CUGUAACAACCGUCAGAAGCACCCGCCUCUACACCCUCAUUAAACACUAACUCCCAUCUCCUGCCCUGGCUCUUGGUGCCAUUCUAGUUCCUGCCUCUGGGGACCUCCUAUGACAGGAAUUCCACAGGAUUUAUCACUGUAACUAGCUUACUUCAGUUAGCAUAUGCCUCAUGGUCCACCCAGGUUACAGCUAUGCCAAGAUUUCAUUUUUUUAAGGCUAAAUGAUAUUUCAUGUUGUACAGCUUCCCACUUUUGACUUUCAUGAAUACUGUGGCUAUAAGCACAGUAUGCUCUUCUAUCAUGCUUUUUGAUGUCCACAAAGCUUGUUCUAUCACGGUGAUCAACUGGGUCCGCGUAGCACUGGAUUCCCUGACUUAUCCUCCAGAUGUGGGUGGACCCUCACAUCUAUGUUCUGGGUUUCACGGUCUCUUUAUCACACCAGUCCCCUCCCUGUGACCAGCUGUCCUCACGGAGACUCUGUUCAUAACGUCCCAGAGAAGCAGAAAUGAAAUCCACAGGGAAGGCACCGGCUCUAGGACAAAGAACCACAGCCUAUCACAGCCUGAGUGGAUUUACAGUGUUCUUGUCACUAGACGGCUCCAGCUAUGAAAGACAGUUGUUGGCAUCGCCUCUUUUGAGAUGGUUUGAUCUGUCAGGGCAAACCAGGGAGGGAGGCAGGGCAGCUGGUAUCUGUCACUCUCCUGGGCCACAGAGGACUCAGUUCCAUUUUUCUUCACUGGGUUGAAACAUGGCAGUCAGAAGUCUCUCAAGGAGCCUUGAGGACAGGAUGGGGGGAUGUCCCCUUCAGGACUUAGCAGAAGAAAAGGUCAUCUCAGGACCCCUCUGACUGUACUGCCCACUGGGACAGAAGAGUUCCAGCCAUUCCACCACUGGAUAAAGGUAGACUUGGCCAAGAGAUGAAAGAGGAAAUUUGGAAAACUCUGUGAUGCUGACCAACAUUUCCUUAGAGAGUCCCUGUGGCUGUGUGCUCCAUGUGGCUGGAAACUGUGGGAUCUCACACCAUCUGUAAGGGCUGGGCUUCCAGCCGCUGCAACACUGCAAAUUCCUGGUGACACAGGAGCCAAAGGCACUUUGUGAACUUCUACUCCCUCACCAGGGGACAGCGUGAGUCAGGCCAUACAAAUUCCCAUGAUGUCAGCCACUCUGCUUAGCUUCUGGGACUCCUAGGUCCCUGUGCCUUUCUCCCCCUGUCCCCAAGUAGCAAAGCAUAAAUAAACAGAUGGAAAGUUACCUCACAGAUCCCUGGCAAAGCCCUCUGGCCCUGCACAGCCCUGGCUGGGUGAAAGUUUACUUUAGAAGAUUCUGAUGCAAUAAAGACAGACAAAGGAGGUGGCUGGUCAUGGGCUCUAGCACUGUCGGGGCUUGGAGGGAAAUGGAUGCAGGAAAGGCCCAGGCUUCAGGUUAGAGUUCAGGUCUCCAGCUCCAUAACUCUGGAAAGAGAGAAAGAAAG
ensembl:sense_intronic Gm29101 predicted gene 29101